CUGACUGCUCCGAAAACUGAAACCAUCAAUUUGUCUUUAGAACAGGUCCAGCAUGGGCAGCAGCAGGGCACCAGGUCUCAACCCUGACCUGGAGGACAACCUCUUCAGGUGAGAAGGGAGUCCUGUUUCCAUGACUUAUUCCUCAAACAGGGGUGCG
rnacentral:sRNA from 1 species